UGAAUAAAAACCGUAAAGCCUAUAUCAAAAAGAUAUGUAUGUAUGGAAGACAGACGACUUAUUUACUUUUACUAUAUAUAAAACGUCAGUUAACUGUUCAUAAGCAGUUUUACUGUUCAUAAGCCGUUUACUGUUUUGUAAGCUAUUUUGAUGUGUCGGCUGGAGUUGAGCCGAUUCCUAUAUACACCGACCUAUCUAGAAGCCCCCUCUAUCUAGAACAGGAAAUCUCGAAGCCUCUGUUUACACUGACAAAAGCAAGCAUCUAUGAUCUAUCUACAAAUCUGGAAGCCUCUAAUCCCACCGACCGAAGCCUCUAUAUAUACUGAAAUUCGUUGUUUCCGGUUAUCGGGUUUGGUUGUCAAUCAAAGCUUUCGUAGAGUUAUUCGGUUGUGAUCAAAGUUUGUUUGUUGUUCGUCAAGCACACAGAGAGAGGGAGAGAAAAACGGGGGAAGAAGGAAAAGAAGAAGGAGAGAGAGAGAGUGGGUCUCAAUUGUGACGAACGAAGAAGCAGCUCUAAGCGACUGAGGCUAGGAGAAGAAGAUAGAACGUUGACUGUAAGUGGGCUUUGAACCGUUUUCAUUUAUUUCAUUCCAGUAAUUUCUGGGUAUUUAUUGCUGCUUCAAUGCAUUCGAGGAAUAAGAUGCGAGCGAUUUCCUCUUUUUCUAGGGAUGUAGUUGUAUGACCACGAUUGAGUGAGUGGGUUAUUUGUUACGAUUGAGUGAGUGUUAUGUGAGUUUGAUUUGUGAAUUUCGAUUCAGUCAUUUUCAGAGACAGGUUUUUCUUUUGUUUGUUUUUGGUUGUGCAAUUUGUCCUUAGUUUCUUAGAGUAUUCUUCAUGUUCUUUGAUUCUGGAUCUGUUUGUUUAGCAUUAAAUAGUGUCUGCCAUGUUUGGUUUAUGGAAUUGCUUAUGACAACUGUCACCAAUACUCGACUCCAAAGCGGGUUAUUAGUUCCUUAAGGUGAGUUAUCUAUUGCUGUAUUCUUUUUUUCAAGUUUGGAGGUGGAAUCUUUAUCUGCUCUAAGUGGGCGAGCUAUAAUCCCGGUUGGCUUUUGAGUAUCUGAGAAUUUGAUUGUGGAAUUAAUUUUUGUUUUUGUGGUUUAUGUUUGUUUUGAAUUGAUUUGUGAUUUGUGAAUGUAUUUGCAGCAACAGGAGGGAGAGUGAGUGCUUAAUGUGAGAAAAAGAGGAGGGCGAAUCAGUUUGUGUUUCUUUUGAAGAAGGUCUCACCUGCUACUACUAUUAUUGCUGCAGCUGAUUUAUCUGUUGUGAAAUAGGUGUGCAAGGGUCUAUUAGCAGAAUACUAGAAGAGAUCAGAAAUAGGAACUUCUCCUUCUUGCCACCUGUCCUGUCUUUCGAUGUCAAUUGGCUACUAUUUGAUUGGAUUCAAUGGAUUAUUGUUUGAAUAAAGAGUGUAGGGAUUCCUCGGAUGGUAAACUUUUUUCAUCAAUAAUAUCUUAUUUUUCAGAUACCUGUUUAUGUUUGAUUGGGUAUAAAUUUGAUUUAACAACUAUACAUCUGUUUGCCAGUCGUAUGAUUUGUAAAGGAUACAUUUCAAUUUAGCAUGCGGUAUGUCAUAUAGUUACAUAACCAUUGCAAUGAUUAUCUUCAGAUACAGCAACUUUCUGCAUCCUUAUCUUUACAAACAUGCAUGUUCUAGGACCUUCUAUGGGCAGAAUUGUAUAAAACUAAUCUACUAACUUCUAUUUGGGGGUUUGAUUGAAUUACAUACAAGCUAUAUAUAUUAAUAGGCUAUCAUCAUUCCGAAGCUUUCAGAGUUUUACCAAUUUCAACAAACUUUCUAUAGGAAGGAUGUAGCUGGGAACAGAGGAAGGGGUAUCUGUUAAACAAAAAUCUUAACAAACUAAAUAUAUAUACUAUAAAACCAACUGCAUUGGUUUCUCAUCUUAGACAGAAUUCAUUAUUAGUUUAAUGCAAAAACAGCCAACUGGAAAGCAAUAGUCAUGUUUCUAAUCCUCCGGUCAAUAAAUCUAUGUAGCAAGAAGCGAGUAGCAAACAUGCUGCUUAAUUUACAUGGUGGUAUUUCAUAUACAUUUAUUCAUGUUCAUAUUGAUGAGAGCCCUUUGCUUUCAAAGAUCGAGUUUUAUAGAUUAAAAAUGAUAAUUCCUGUGUUUGGAUCAUUUGGUUUAUCUUACGUGGUUGAUGCCAUUUGGGAAAACAUCGGUGUAUGGGGACAUCAUUAUGUAGGAUUUGGUAUAACCAUCUGCUGGCUUUCCCUUUAGACAAAUGAUGAAAUGAAAGUGGCUGAAUUGGAAGAAGUUGGCAAGUGAGAUUGCAAAAUUGAAGGCCUUACUCACUGGCAAGUCUUCCAAGCUACUAAUAUUUUGGCGACCUAAUUUAAUUUGCUGAGCGUGAUUUCUUCCAAUGUCACAGAAAAAGAAAAGGGAUUGUAUCUUAAAUCUUUUAGAGCAUGACACCUAUGGCUUAUUGAAAAAAGGAACUAUUAAUAUGUAAAAUGUAAUGUCAAUACAUUGCUAUAAAACCCGCAGCAACGCGCGGGGUGCUGUUUCUAGU